rnacentral:rRNA from 1 species
AGAGCGAACGCUGGCGGCAGGCUUAACACAUGCAAGUCGAGCGGGCGUAGCAAUACGUCAGCGGCAGACGGGUGAGUAACGCGUGGGAACGUACCUUUUGGUUCGGAACAACCCAGGGAAACUUGGGCUAAUACCGGAUAAGCCCUUACGGGGAAAGAUUUAUCGCCGAAAGAUCGGCCCGCGUCUGAUUAGCUAGUUGGUGGGGUAAUGGCCCACCAAGGCGACGAUCAGUAGCUGGUCUGAGAGGAUGAUCAGCCACAUUGGGACUGAGACACGGCCCAAACUCCUACGGGAGGCAGCAGUGGGGAAUAUUGGACAAUGGGCGCAAGCCUGAUCCAGCCAUGCCGCGUGAGUGAUGAAGGCCCUAGGGUUGUAAAGCUCUUUGUGCGGGAAGAUAAUGACGGUACCGCAAGAUAAGCCCGGCUAACUUCGCGCCAGCAGCCGC